rnacentral:lncRNA from 1 species
GUGUGAAUCAUGGCAGUGCAGUGAAGGACGGUGAUUUACCGCUUUUGAGGGCAUGCAUGUAUAUGAUUAAGGGAUGGAGGUGAAGGACUCCAAGAUUUACUUCCUUCCCUUUCCAGCAGAGUUACCUGAGAGGAGUGAGUAAUGGGAUCAUUGGUAACACCACCGGCCCCUUUUCAAGAGACCAGUAAUCAAAACAGGAACACCAAACUGAGAAGAUUUCAGCUGGGAGAAUACAACUUUUGAUACUUUCUGGAUCUACCUCUUAGCACACAGGAGAGUCUUCAGAGUUUUCCUGUUUUAUUUUUUCAUGGAGAUUUUCGUUAAAAAGAUACUUCGGGUUUGACGUGACUAUCUUGGUGGUGGCAGUAGACUUCUCAUAUUAGAGAUAUGAUAAAAUGGUGAAAAGUUCCAAGCUCGUCCUCCUCUCCCAUCUAUGCCAGGUAAAAUCUGCUGGUGGAGUCACUCCAUUAUUCUUACCCAUGGAGAGGUAGAUCUUGAUUUGAAAGUUUCUGAGAAAAUCUUCAGCUCAGACUUGAGGUCAACUUUACCAACUGAAGGAAGCUGCGAGAAAGCAAACUAGUGGGAAGAGCCAGAAAUAGAAGACGAGGACACUCUUUAAAAUGAGAAGAGCAAGAGAUGGCAUCAGACACGUGAAGUGGUUUUUAAAAGUUCUGAGGAUCAGAUACCGUGAGGCGGAAACUUAAGUAGGUGUGAAUGUAGUUGGAAAGAAGGAACCUCGAUGUAAUAUUCUAAACCAGAAUAGGAGGCUUAGAUGCCGAAGGGCACGCACAGUUUUAUGAGUUUAGAAGCUUUUGGCAUAGGAAAUUGAGCAUAUGCUUAAAUAUGGCUUUCCUUUGCUGUUUGGAGAAUUUUAUGCAUUUUUUGUUGUUGUUUUGGGAGGCUGCCAUAACCCUCCAUUCGGUGGUCUUGGAUGGAACAUCUCUUGCCUUGGAGCUUGGAAAUC